rnacentral:rRNA from 1 species
AAUUGCAGCCAUAUCACCCUACAACUCACAACUGGCUGUCCCCUGAAGCUAAGCAGGUGUGAGCCUGGCCAUUACCUGGAUGGGAAACCUCCUGGGAAAAAAGGUUGCUGCUGGAA